rnacentral:lncRNA from 1 species
GUGGAGUUGCCCUGUAUUGGUUCUUACUCUGUACCAGGCACAAGCUAAACACUGUUCAGACGUGACAUUUUAUCCUGACAGUGUACUGAGCGGCUACAUUCUCAGCUAUAGGAACUGACACUUGCCUGGGUUAAGGCAUGUCUGCCCUGGUUACACAGCUGGGCAGUGGCAGACACAGGAUCCUGAACCCCGACGGAUUAUUUUCAGAGCGUGUGAUCUGAACCAGGCAAAAACAUUGAUCCUCCCCACAAAUGAUGACAGCCACUUACGCGGGGGUAGGGUGAUCCACUGUUAUCCAGUUGCCUUUUCAGGCAGGACCAAUCCACGUCCCCAUACUUACAAGAGUUUCAACAUUGUCCUGUGUCUUCUUCUCUAUUUGAUAUCUGGGUGGGGCUUUUUAAAUGCCUUUAUUUGCACAAUUGUUUAGCAUUUGCUAUAAAACUCUCAGCUCCCUGCUGGAAUGUUCAUGAUCUAAUUGUACACUGAAUAUGCGAUUUUUUUUUUCAUUCCUAAUAAAACUACAAAGCUGGGCAGAAUCCACCUGGAAUUUACAUGCAGCAAAGAAUUCUCAUCAAACAGAAAUCUCCGUCUUGGAGGAAAGGUUGAUGUAGACGACUCAAUGAGCCCUGAACUUCUUGAAGAUGAAAGUCAUCUCCAACCUUGGCCUUUCUGGCCUGUCAUAUGUCUCCGCUGGUCCAGGAGCAGCUGCUUGGCACCUGCUGCUCAAGAUUCUGUCUUCCUCACUAUCGAUGGCUGAGCUGUCCACUGCACUGGACUGUACACUGCAGACAACCAGGUUUUAUCUGAGAGCUCUCCUUCAAGAGAUUAUCUGCAAAAGAAUCCCCCAUCAGGCUUUGAACUUCAGAAACCAGACACAGUAUUAUAAGACAGCUCAAUGCAUGGUGGGCAGGGUAGAGAGAGGACUACUGCUUAAGACACCUGGGAAAACUUCGCAGAGCAAGGCUACUUGCAUUUUAUUCUGAAGAACACAUUGGAGUAAGGAUGGUAGGCAAGGGCUGAUAUACGUUAAGUACCUAUGAAGACCACACACGUCAUAGCUACUCAAGAUUAAUUUACACCCCUCUUUUCUCAAUGUAAGCAAGUAAACUACAGCAACAAAGCCAUCAGAAUGCGAAGGAGCAUGGCAUUGUCAGAGAAUGCUGGAAAGUUUCAUUGCCUGGAGUUCAAGGAGCCUGGUGGGGACUUGAAGGAGAGCUGGGUCCCUAAGGAAUCUAUGCACAGUGCUUUUUCCUGUGUACAUGGAGAGCCAGAAGAGGUAUUAAAUCAGGAGGAUGAUAUUGGAUAUCGUUUGAAAGGAUGCUUCUGGCAGCAGUGGGAGGAUGGAUUGGACGGUCUUUGAAAUAGUCAAGACAGAAGAAGCUUCAGAGAUAGAGAUGAUCACUUAUCAGAAUCGAGGUUUUGGAGUCAGGGAUAUAUUCAAGGGGUUUUGAAAAGAAUAACUCCUCAGCAUGAAGUGACCAAUAGAGAGGGAGCAAGGGGCCACUAUAACAGUGAAUGACAAUAUUCUGGCAGGUGGCAUUGAUAAAAUAUGAAACCUGAAUGAGGAAUAUUCCAUUAACUCUUGUGGUAAAAAGAUAAUUCUAAUGAAUGGUGCCACCCAAGUAAGACAUAUAUUAUCCUCUUCUUUGAAACCUCUGUGUAACUUAAGACAUCGCUGUUGUAUUUAAAAGAAUGCAUUAUUGGGAGCUCCAGCAGAAGGUCAACAUUCAUUAGCAACCCUACAAUAAUAGCCAACAAGUGUGAAGAGAGAGCCUGCAAUUGAGGAAAACAAUUUCAGUUAGAAAAUAGACUCUCAUUUUCUAGCAUCACAAGGUUAUUACAGCAACCAGAAAAUGAAAACACUUUUAUUUUUUAAGUUUAUGAAAAAGUGCUCACCACCACCACCACCACCACCACUACUGACAGUCCAGCCAGGAAAGCACCUUCAGCUAAUGUCACCUUCUCUUCUCUGAACUUAAAUAAGACAAACAGCUAGCAAGCAACAAAGAAGAUGGG